UGCUGUGUUCCACCUUCUACAUUAAAAAUAACGAAGUGUUUGGGUUUUUUUUUUUUUUUUUUUUAAAUUGAAGAUUUUGUGUUGGGCUUAGACACAAUUUACACAAGUAAGCAUGGCAGCUAGGAGUCAGGAGAGAAUGUCUGUGUUUCCCUUUUUCCCCUUAUAAAAAUUAACACCAUGUACCACAUUCUAAGUUUUGUCAACACAAAUGAAGUGGAGGUUGUUCCUGCUCUUUGGGUUCAGAACGAUGUGUGUUUAUGGCCUCCGUACAAGAGUGAAGGUAUUUAGGGGGCAACCAGGUGUUUGGAGCAACCUCAGGAGUCUUGGGCUCCAUAUAAAUAUGUACACUGUGCACAAGUACAAAUAUACCUUUUUUCUAUAAUAUAUUUGAUAAACUAAAUGGUUUAUUUAGUAAUCAAAUGUGAAUUUAUGAUUUUUAAGCGUAGAGGAAGCUACCUCUCGCAAAUGGAUCUCAGCAAAUGGAUCUCCAGUCAGAGGCUGAAAUUGACUCAUUGAAGCCAUCAAAACAAAACAAAAAAGUAGGAUUGUGUACAACAUGGAUGUAAUAUAAUUUUCUUUAAUGCAGAUCUGUCCAACAGGGCCUUGUAUCAUUGUGCAAUCACCUCCUCUGUAUGUCUACAGGUGUUACACAGUUUCAAGGAACUUCAACACCAUCCUUGUUGGACAGGAGUCCUGCUUCUGGAUCUCAAUGGAAUCAAAGAAGUCUUGGGUCUUCUUUAUGUCAAGCUAUUGACUUGCCUGAAGAGGAAUCAACUUUCUCCUGAGCAAGCGGCACAUUCAGUGUGGCAUCAGGAAACACCCAGACUCCAAGGAAAAAACUACCAUACUGUAAUCCAUUCAUAAGAUAACUGCUACAUGAUUGCAAAACAAGAAAUGGUUAUGGAGCAACUUGGGAGCUUGACAAGAGUUGUCCAAUAUCUCCAAGCAAGUACUGUCAUGGAGAUCAAAGGUAUUUUCCCACUGGAGACCUAGCAUCGUUAACUGCCCUUGAAAAUGAUCUCCGAUCCUCACCAGAAACAAGACGAAAUAUGGUAGGUAACACUCAGUUAUGCAUAUCUGCCUGUUAUCACUUAAAAUUGUACUUGAAUGGGGGGGGCAUCAAUCUUGUAUGUAGUGUCAUUUACAUAAUAUCGGUAUUAUAGACAUAAGCAUGUUUUAGUGUUUUUAAUGUUGCUUGAUAUUGGCAAAUUUUUUUUUUCUUUUUUACAUUUAGGUUCUUGAACUUGGAAUGUUGGGUGGAAUUGAUGUGAAGGACACUGUAUGGAGAGUAAUGAAGCAGGCAGUGGGGGGAAAAAAAGACUUUGCAAAAAUGGUGAACUGGAUAGGUGUAAACGUGAAAACGUCCUUCCAAAGUUUGGAGCUUAAAGUUGUGAUUGGUAAGAGCUGCUGUUCUUUCUGUAAUUUUUCUGUGUUUUUUAAAUUAAGAAAUGCAUUUUCACAUGUUACGAAUUGAAUUUUGAAAGUCUUGGUCCUUGGAGUGGUGCUGUCUUGUAGUAUGUGCUUUAAGGCCCUAUUAUGAUGCAUUUGAUCUCAAUGUAGUUUUAUUCUUAACUCUAUAUGUGUAUGCUCCUAUUCUAGAGGCUGUAAGAAGAAAUCCACAAUGUGCACAAAUAACAGAACUGGAGGUUGAAAAAGUCACAAGAUGAUAGUUUAAUCUAGCUGGUGACCAUGAGGGUGUCAGAAAGAAAAUAACACUUUUACAAGCUAUUAAUGCACACACUAAACAUUAAAACCAACAUGUUCACUUCACACUCACUGCACUGUUGGAUGUACAACUCUCAUAAUGCUGUGAAGGGUGUAAGUAGACCCCGCUCCAUGUGAUAUUUUUACCGUACAAAUUCUACAUUCUUCCUUUGUGUUGUUUUUGUUAUUAAAAUGCAUGUUCUAAAUGUAUUAAAAUGGAGAAUGUUAUCCCAUGUGAUUUGUCGCACGCACAUAUACGUCAAUACAACAUUAAGUCAGUGCAUGGAGUGUGCGAGGCCGAGCAGUGUGCCUAAAAGAUCAUCCUAUUAUUCUGUCUUGUAUUC